GUGAAAUUGAGUAAGGCGGGGCACGUGAAACCUUGUCUGAACAUGGGGGGACCAUCCUCCAAGGCUAAAUACUCCUGACUGACCGAUAGCGAACUAGUACCGUGAGGGAAAGGCGAAAAGAACCCCGGAGAGGGGAGUGAAAUAGACCCUGAAACCGUAUACGUACAAGCAGUGGAAGCCCGCAAGGGUGACUGCGUACCUUUUGUAUAAUGGGUCAGCGACUUACUGUCAGUGGCAAGCUUAACCGUAUAGGGGAGGCGAAGAGAAAUCGAGUCUGAAUAGGGCGCAUAGUCUCUGGCAGUAGACCCGAAACCGAGUGAUCUAUCCUUGGCCAGGUUGAAGGUGCGGUAACACGCACUGGAGGACCGAACCCACAUCUGUUGCAAUAGAUGGGGAUGAGCUGAGGAUAGGAGUGAAAGGCUAAACAAACUCGGAGAUAGCUGGUUCUCCUCGAAAGCUAUUUAGGUAGCGCCUCGGACGAAUCUUCCUGGGGGUAGAGCACUGUUAUGGCUAGGGGGUCAUCGCGACUUACCAAACCAUGGCAAACUCCGAAUACCAGGACAGACUAUCCGGGAGACACACGGCGGGUGCUAACGUCCGUCGUGAAAAGGGAAACAACCCAGACCCGCAGCUAAGGUCCCAAAGUCAUAGCUAAGUGGAAAACGAUGUGGAAAGGCAUAGACAGCCAGGAGGUUGGCUUAGAAGCAGCCAUCCUUUAAAGAAAGCGUAAUAGCUCACUGGUCGAGUCGGUCUGCGCGGAAGAUUUAACGGGGCUAAGCUAUGCACCGAAGCUCGGGGUGUGCACGCAAGUGCACGCGGUAGAGGAGCGUUCCGUAAGCCUGUGAAGGUGGAUUGUAAAGUCUGCUGGAGGUAUCGGAAGUGCGAAUGCUGACAUGAGUAACGAUAAUGGGGGUGAAAAGCCCCCACGCCGAAAGCCCAAGGUUUCCUCGCGCAACGUUCAUCGGCGCAGGGUGAGUCGGCCCCUAAGGCGAGGCAGAAAUGCGUAGUCGAUGGGAAGCUGGUUAAUAUUCCAGCACUUUUCUACAGUGCGAUGUGGGGACGGAGAAAGUUAGGUCUACCGGGCGUUGGUUGUCCCGGGGAAAGGCGGUAGGCAUGGAUCUUAGGCAAAUCCGGGAUCCUUUAUGCCGAGCACCGAGACGAGCCCUUUUGGGCGAAGUGACCGAUACUACGCUUCCAGGAAAAGCCACUAAGCUUCAGCUGUAGAAAAACCGUACCGUAAACCGACACUGGUAGGCAGGGUGAGAAUCCCAAGGCGCUUGAGAGAACUCGGGUGAAGGAACUAGGCAAAAUGGCACCGUAACUUCGGGAGAAGGUGCGCCC
rnacentral:rRNA from 1 species